rnacentral:lncRNA from 1 species
AAGACCUGGGGUGAAGGCAGGAGCUGGAAUGGGUUUGUCCUUACCCAAAUUUAUCCUUCACUGGCCUGAUGCUGCAUGGUGGUUCCUGGGGAUAACUGUUCCUCUGGUCCAAAGUAUCACAAUCUAAACAGAUUUGCAGAUGUUCAGCUUCCGUUUUGCCUUUAUCAAGUUCAACUGACAGUCCAGUGGGACUGGUUGCAUUUGUGCCAUGCACUCCAGCCCUCUCCCUCCCACUCCCCACCCCAGCAUGUUUCCCUGAGGAACUGGGAGAAGCUGCAGCUGUUGCCUCUGGUUUCCUUCAGCUCCUGCCACAGCAGCAGUUCUUCAAAAUUUCAUUACUUGUCUAUAUUUUCAGUAAAGUCACUCAACACUCACCGUUGUCCUGCUUUCCCCAGAGCAUGUCACCUUCAGUCUUCAAGCACCAGAUAAUUAAGUUGCUAGCAAGGUGCUGCAGAGAGGGAAGCCAUGCUGGAAAUCCCAGGCUGGCAGAAACCUGGAGUGGAACUCUCUUCUUAGGACUUCAUUUCCAUGGCCAGAAGGAAAGCAGCCUUCCCUAAAUUGCACCUGCCUCAAAGCUCUAUUGCCUUGACCUCAAUUAAAAAAGAAAUUACGACAACAUCCUUUAAAGAAUGCCACUAACAGCCUCUUGGCCUUCUACGGGAUACAGCAGCCAAUUUGCUGGUCUGUCUCUAUAGAAAUUGUUUCUCCACUGUGUGGAGAAAAUAAAAUCCAAGAUGGAGAUGGUUAUGUAAGAGGUAUCUAAAUGGGAUCUGCGGGGCAUAAGGAGUUGGAUCCCAGUCAUGUGCACACCCAGAUGAAAUCUGACUUGUUGAACUGGGCCAAAUUGUAACACCAACUGCAUUUGACUUGUACUGUUUAUACUGGGCCUGAUCACCAGCUUCCUGGAAAGACAGCUAGGCCAAACAAGACUGAAAGACAUCCUAAGCUGUUAACCAGCCAUCAUCAAUCAUGCACUAUAUGAAAACCUUCCAGAAUGUUACACAACUCAGAAUCAUCAAGAAGAAAAACCAAAACUGAACUUGGAGUAAGGGCAGACAUUGGCUGAGUAUCCUCGACAUUAUAUUUCUGGCUUUGACACAAGGACGUGACCAGUGUGAUUUGGCAAG